GCUGUUAUAAGUUGAUUUACGUCUAGUUAUGUGCUUUAGGAAAGCACCCGACUCCGGGACAGAUGGAGCACCAAAGGUUGAGCUCUCUGUUGGUGGUCAUAUGAUAUGAUUAAAAAACUGCCAUCUUGUAAGCUAGGAGAUAAGGCCCGAACAAACCGGAAAGUGUGCGUUUUAAAGACGCAGGCUAGUCAAUAGUGUAGAAGAAUCUAAUUUUCGGUACAAGAAACACAUGGCGCUUGUAAUUGCUUGUAAGAACAUGAUAUAAUUUUUCUUGUUCAAACAUCAAAGCAAGCUGUUAUUAGUUGAUUUAUAGUUGAUUUACGUCUUUAAAGCUAGUUAUGUGCUUUUGGUUUGCUUAAUUUUGGGUAUAAGUUCAUAAUAUUUCCUACAUUCAUGUCACCUUCCUGGGUUUACAUUCAAAGUAGUGGACUACAAUUUAUUUCAUUGAGCAUUUUUGUCUAUAGUUUGGUGAGCUUGAGUAUAAGCAGGGUAUAAAUAACAAUGUCAAGUAAUUUAUCCCUUAGGAUAAAACCAAUCGCAUGUCUAUUAGUGCGUUCGAAAAUGCAACGGUCUAGAUAUUCAUGUAAGCACGAGAUCAAGAGACAGAUAUAGGCAUGGAAAGCCAGUGAAAAUAUUAUAUCCUCGCAAACUUUAAACACCGCCAGAUUACUAUUUUCCAAAAGUAGUUGUUUAUCCGAGAACUAGACAUUUUGUUGCCAAUAAACAGUGAACAAUACGCUCUGAGAAUAAAGCCGAUGUUCUGGGAUGUUGGCGCGUUCUAGAGACCCCUUUUAGGGGUAGCGAUGAGUAAGUUCGAGAUUUGCCGAGGCGCCGAGACCGCGUUUUAGAAUCCGAGCCCGAGACCUUAAGUCAAAUUUCGGAAUCCGUGUCCGAGCUUUUACUAGCUUGUGUUCGGACAUCAGAUAACUUGCUCGAGGUAUGUCAUAAACAUUAGUUGAAAAAGAAUAGCUAGAGCGGAAAGGCUUAAGACUCGAGACUCGAAAAAGAGGGAAACCCUUAUCAGUAACAACAUAAAACAGAUCGCGUUUAACAGAGACUCCGAGAACGUGGAACAAAAAGAGGCUCCAAGAUCCUAAAAUGUCGUGGGGAAAAACGAGACUUCGAGACUUCCGUAAAAACGCCGAGAUUCCGAGACUUUGCGAAAUUUUUGCGAGAUUUUCGAAAUUUUAAGAAAGACAUGACAUAUUUGGUAUAGCGAAAAGAGAUUCUGGGAGAGCUGUGCAAA